rnacentral:misc_RNA from 1 species
GAUGAAGAACGCAACGAACUGCGAUAAGUAAUGUGAAUUGCAGAAUUCAGUGAAUCAUCGAGUCUUUGAACGCACAUUGCGCCCCCUGGCAUUCCGGGGGGCAUGCCUGUCCGAGCGUCAUUGCUGCCCUUCAAGCCCGGCUUGUGUGUUGGGUCGUCGUCCCCCCCGGGGGACGGGCCCGAAAGGCAGCGGCGGCACCGCGUCCGGUCCUCGAGCGUAUGGGGCUUUGUCACCCGCUCGAUUAGGGCCGGCCGGGCGCCAGCCGGCGUCUCCAACCUUCUAUUUUACCAGGUUGACCUCGGAUCAGGUAGGGAUACCCGCUGAACUUAAGCAUAUCAAUAAGCGGAGGA